GACGUAGGUGGCAAACGUUAUCCGGAAUUAUUGGGCGUAAAGGGUGCGUAGAUGGCAUAAUAAGUUAUUGGUGGUAAAUCGAGGCUCAACCUCGUGGAAGCUGGUAAUACUGUUAUGCUCGAGUGCAGAAGAGGUUAACGGAACUCCCUGUGGAGCGGUAAAAUGUGAAGAUAUAGGGAAGAACACCAAUAACGGCGAAGGCAGUUAACUAUUCUGUUACUGACAUUGAGGCACGAAAGCGUGGGGAGCAAAACGG
rnacentral:rRNA from 1 species